rnacentral:piRNA from 1 species
UGAUACUUGUGUGCACCUGAUUUGGCC